AGUGCUGGGAGUCCAGUGUGAUCUGCCU
rnacentral:piRNA from 1 species